CGCCGCGGGGUCCUCCCCGCGACGUGUGUUUUCCCGGGUGGAUGCGAGUUCCAGCAUCCCCCACGGGAAGGGCUGGAAGCGGGACGGCCGCCUGUCAGGUAGGGAGUUGAUGGCUAAUCUCAUCAAGACCCCAGCUGCACGGACCCCACAGAACAUCUCGCCCUCCUCAAACACCUGCUGAUGUUUGCUGUCUCUAGAAUUGUCCGCGGUCAUGAGUGGGCCCUGGGGGUGGCUGCAGCCUCCUCUGCCCUGUCCAUCUGGGCUCUAGCAUGAGUGGAGGUCACUGCUUCCAGCCUCAGUCCUUCAGCUCAGGGCAUCCCUCAAAGGCGUGCCAGAACUGGGGAACGCUUCAAGGUUUGGGUGUGCACGUGUUCCGCAAUGCUGUGCUCAUUUGUCCCUUGCUCUUUAAAGAAAUAAAGGAUAAUAUAAGGUA